rnacentral:rRNA from 1 species
AACGAACGCUGGCGGCAUGCCUAACACAUGCAAGUCGAACGAGACCUUCGGGUCUAGUGGCGCACUGGUGCGUAACGCGUUGGAACCUGCCCUUAGGUUCGGAAUAACUCCCCGAAAGGGGUGCUAAUACCGGAAAAUGUCUUCGGACCAAAGAUGUAUCGGCGUUGGAUGGGCCCGCGUUGGCUUAGCUAGUUGGUAGGGUCAAAGCAUGCCAAGGCGACGAUCCAUAGCUGGUCUGAGAGGAUGAUCAGCCACACUGGGACUGAGACACGGCCCAGACUCCUACGGGAGGCAGCAGUAGGGAAUAUUAGACAAUGGACGAAAGCCUGAUCCAGCAAUGCCGCGUGAGUGAUGAAGGCCUUAGGGUUGUAAAGCUAUUUUACCCGGGAUGAUAAUGACGGUACCGGGAGAAUAAGCUCCGGCUAACUCCGUG